rnacentral:tRNA from 1 species
GGAGGAGUCGCCUAGCGGCCUAUGGCAGCGGUUUGCUAAACCGCGACCCGCAAGGGUCCCGUGAGUUCAAAUCUCACCUCCUCCGCAA